GGGUUGUGAGGUUAAGCGACUAAGCGUACACGGUGGAUGCCCUGGCAGUCAGAGGCGAUGAAGGACGUGCUAAUCUGCGAUAAGCGUCGGUAAGGUGAUAUGAACCGUUAUAACCGGCGAUUUCCGAAUGGGGAAACCCAGUGUGUUUCGACACACUAUCAUUACGUGAAUACAUAGCGUAAUGAAGCGAACCGGGGGAACUGAAACAUCUAAGUACCCCGAGGAAAAGAAAUCAACCGAGAUUCCCCCAGUAGCGGCGAGCGAACGGGGAGCAGCCCAGAGUCUGAAUCAGCAUGUGUGUUAGUGGAAGCGUCUGGAAAGUCGCACGAUACAGGGUGAAAGUCCCGUACACAAAAGUGCAUGUGUUGUGAACUCGAAGAGUAGGGCGGGACACGUGGUAUCCUGUCUGAAUAUGGGGGGACCAUCCUCCAAGGCUAAAUACUCCUGACUGACCGAUAGUGAACCAGUACCGUGAGGGAAAGGCGAAAAGAACCCCGGCGAGGGGAGUGAAAAAGAACCUGAAACCGUGUACGUACAAGCAGUGGGAGCACCCUUCGGGGUGUGACUGCGUACCUUUUGUAUAAUGGGUCAGCGACUUAUAUUCUGUAGCAAGGUUAACCGAAUAGGGGAGCCGAAGGGAAAC
rnacentral:rRNA from 2 species